rnacentral:rRNA from 1 species
AUACGGAGGGUGCAAGCGUUACUCGGAAUCACUGGGCGUAAAGCGCGCGCAGGCGGUCUUUUAAGUUGGAUGUGAAAGCCUACGGCUCAACCGUAGAACUGCAUCCAAAACUGUCAGGCUAGAGUGUGGGAGAGGAAGAUGGAAUUAGUUGUGUAGGGGUAAAAUCCGUAGAGAUAACUAGGAAUACCAAAAGCGAAGGCAAUCUUCUGGAACACUACUGACGCUGAGGCGCGAAGGCGUGGGGAGCAAACAGGAUUAGAAACCCGAGUAGUCC